UAGAAUCUGGUGCAUAGUAUGUUCACGAUAAAUCUCAGCUUUGCUUGCUUGCUUGCUUGCUUGAUUGAUUUUGUCUAUGCUGCACUAAACUUAGUUUGGGGACGAAAUAUACAAAUACAAAUCAUACAUAUAUAGCCCUUGUUUUUAGGAGUAUACUGUCUUUUGGGAACAACAGAUGUGUUUGAUAAUUAGAAGUGUUUGAUAAUACCCACGGAGGUAUUUAUAAGCACUGUGGGUGUCUAGUGUGCUGGGCCUAAAUCAGCCUGAAAAUUAAGAGGUAUUAUCUGUGGAUUUUCAAGUCCUUUAUCCCAUUUAACUCCCUAGAGAACCCUGAGAGGUUGGAAAUAUUUCCCCAUGUCAACAGAUGUGGCAACAGAAGGCCCAGAAAAAUCAAGGCACAGUGGCCAGUGUUCUCUGCUGCCCCUGGAAGGUACCAGACCCCCUGAGGCAUCCUUGCUAGUGUACUCCUCAUGGGUGAGGCCUAAGCCGUGCCCACUGCAGAGUCCAGAUACUUCCAGGAAGGUCUGAUUAUCAGUGAGGCAAUCUCUGUGCAACCAGGAAUCUCCGAGUCCAAAUGACAGAGGAAUAGAAAUCUAGCAGGACAGGCUUGGCUCCAAUCCCACAUCUCAGGGCCAGACAGCAGAAGAGAUUCUGAGUGGAGUGAGAUGACCAUCUCUGGUCUCUUACUUUGGCCCAGUCCAUGGACAUGUGUCUGGGGCCCUGGAGGAGCGAGGGCAACAAAGAAGAAUGGGCAGUGGGCUCCAUGCAGACCUCUGCAACACACUGGAGCCUAAGCCCACUGCUGCAGGACUCAGCAACUACAAGGAAGAGGGAGAAGGUGUAUGCACCGCCCCCCCAGCUCUCCCAUGAUCUCCAUGGAGACCCAAAGAUAGAGACUGCAGCACCCAGCAAAGACAUGGUACUUGGUAAGGACAGUGGUACCCACCUGUUCCAGAGGGAACAUACUAAUCGUAUUUGUAAACCUGUCUGAGACAGCCCCUGAGAUGGGCUUGAAUACCCGGCUGUGGAGGAAUUAUAAGAGCUGAGGUCCUAUGGAGCCAAGAGGCAGUCAAGUUGGUAUUUAUUUAUGUAUUAAUGACUAUUAAUGGGGCACCUUUUAUGCCCACAGACUGCUGAGGCCCGGAUUAAGCUGGCACAAGAGUUUGAUAAGAGAAGAGGACAACUAACCCUGUACUUUGAAAAUCCAAUUCACAUUUCGUGUUGGAGUGUGGAUAUGAGUCAUGGAACUCUGGGGCUAUGUUGCUGCCAGGUAAGAAGCUGUUCUAGGAAGGACAAAAUCAACGGACAUAGAAAGGCAGGCUGGAGGAGAAUGGAAAGGGAGCUGAGCCUUCCUGAUAGAGUAAACCUGUGGAUUAAACUAUGCCUGAAGCCCA